GAAAAAAGAAAAAAAAAGAGAGGGUCAUCCUACGAUUGAAAAUUUCUCAUCUAAUGAAGUCUAUAAUCAUUCAGUUUAUACCCACAAAGAAAAAAGUAAUAAUUUAAACAACGAAUUUGUAAAUCGAAUUCAAACUCUAGACAAAGAAUUUUUUUUUUCUAAUUCACUCAAAACAAGGACUAAAUUGUGUAGUGACAAUACUACAAAAGAAUAUUUACCCAAAAUAUAUAAUCUCUUCUUGAACGGACUAUAUCGAAGAACAAUAACAAAAAGCGUUUCACCUUCAAUCAUAAAAAUAAAAAAAUAAUAAUAAAAACUUCGACGGACAAUUUCAUAGAGAAAGUUGGGAUAAAUCAGAUUCAUGGUAUCGUUCCUCGUGAUACUAGUUACCCAAAAAUUGAACAGAAAAUAGAUCGAUUUGAUAAAAAAUCAUUAUCAACCAAAAUUGUUGAUUUCUUAACUGUCAUCAAUGAACUUGGUAAAUAAUUGAUCAGGAUCAAUUUUAAAUUCUAGGGGUCUCUUUAUAUUUUCAGAUAAAGAAGAAGGAAGAAUAGAUUAAGAAGAAAGAACAAAAUUUUUGAAAAAUAAUAAAUUUAUUCAAACGCU
rnacentral:lncRNA from 1 species